rnacentral:rRNA from 1 species
GGCCAUGGCCCAGGUGAGACGCCCGGUCCCAUUCCGAACCCGGAAGCUAAGGCCUGGCACGGCGAUGGUACUGCACCCGACAGGGUGUGGGAGAGUAGCACGCCGCCGCAUCCAAC